rnacentral:tRNA from 1 species
GGUUCUGUGGUCUAAUGGUUAUGACGUUUGCUUCACACGCAAAAGGUUCCCAGUUCGAUCCUGGGCAGAAUCA